rnacentral:ncRNA from 1 species
UUGACAGCGAACGAAGAUGAUAACUUUGAUUAUUUUUUAUUGAGAAUUAAGAACAAGGGACAUCCAAGCGCAGCACAUCUCUAAGGUUAUAAUAACUGGCUUGUGGCAGCCAAGCAUUCAUAGCGACGUUGGUUUUUGAUCCUUCGAUGUCGGCUCUUCCUAUUAUACUGAAGCAAAAUUCAGUAAGCGUUGGAUUGUUCACUCACUAAUACGGAACGUGAGCUGGGUUUAGGCCGUCGUGAGACAGGUUAGUUUUACCCUACUGAUGAAAUGUUCAUGCAAUAAUAGUAAUUGAACUUAGUACGAGAGGAACCGUUCAUUCGGAUAAUUGGUAUUUGGGCCUGCCUGAACAGGCAACGGCCCGAAUCUAUCGUCUGCUGAAUUAUGGCUGAACGCCUCUAAGGCAGAAGCUGUGCUAGAACGCGACGAUUACCGCCUUUCCCGAUACUUAGUUGAAUACGAAUAGAGCUUCGGCUCCUGAAUCAUGCUACGCGGGGUCAUCAUGCAGGGCGGAAAGGUCUUGUGUAGUGCCUGCUAAUGCUAAUUCCAAAGAUUGGAAGAGAUAAAUCCAUUGCAGACGACUUUAAUUGAACGGGCUAUUGUAAGCUGUAGAGUAGUCUUGUUGCUACAAUCAGCUGAGAUUAAGCCCACUGUUCUACAGAUUU